rnacentral:rRNA from 1 species
CCMGCUCCAAGAGUGUAUAUUAAAGUUGUUGCGGUUAAAAAGCUCGUAGUUGGGUUUCAACUCUCAGGGGGCGGUCCGUUAUUUGACGCGACUGCCCCAUUUGAGAGUGUUUCUUCGGCGGAACUCCCGGGGUGCUCUUCGCCGAGUGUCCCGUUGGGGGCCGCCAGUUUUACUUUGAAAAAAUUAGAGUGCUCCAAGCAGGCUCGACACGCCUGAAUAUUUGUGCAUGGAAUAAUGGAAUAGGACGUCGUUCCUAUUUUGUUGGUUUUCGGGAAUCGACGUAAUGAUUAAUAGGGACAGCCGGGGGCAUUAGUAUUGCGGUGUUAGAGGUGAAAUUCUUGGAUCGCCGCAAGACGAACAACUGCGAAAGCAUUUGCCAAGAAUGUUUUCAUUAAUCAAGAACGAAAGUUGGAGGUUCGAAGACGAUUAGAUACCGUCCUAGUUCCAACCAUAAACGAUGCCAACUAGCGAUUAGCCGCUGUUACUAAUACGACACGGCUAGCAGCUUCCGGGAAACCAAAGUUUUUGGGUUCCGGGGGAAGUAUGGUUGCAAAGCUGAAACUUAAAGGAAUUGACGGAAGGGCACCACCAGGAGUGGAGCCUGCGGCUUAAUUCGACUCAAC